rnacentral:rRNA from 1 species
AGAGUUUGAUUCUGGCUCAGAACGAACGCUGGCAGCGUGGAUUAGGCACGCAAGUCGAACGAGAAUCCGCGGCUUCAAGUUUUCGGACGAGAAGUUGUGGAGGACAGUGGCGGAAGGGUGAGUAACGCGUGGGCAACCUGCCCCCAAGAUGGGGAUAACCCCGCGAAAGCGGGACUAAUACCGAAUGUGGUAUUCCAGGGCAUCCUGGGAUUACUGAAGCUGGGGACCCUUCGGGGCCUGGCGCUUGGGGAGGGGCCCGCGUACCAUCAGCUAGUUGGUGAGGUAACGGCCCACCAAGGCUUACGGUUAGCUGGUCUGAGAGGAUGGUCAGCCACACUGGGACUGAGACACUGCCCAGACUCCUACGGGAGGCUGCAGUCGAGGAUCAUCUGCAAUGGGCGCAAGCCUGACAGUGCGACGCUGCGUGGAGGAUGACGGCCUUCGGGUUGUAAACUCCUGUCAUGAGGGAACAACCGUUCGGGUGUGAAUAGCACCCGGACCUGAUGGUACCUCAAGAGGAAGCCACGGCUAACUCUGUGCCAGCAGCCGCGGUAAUACAGAGGUGGCGAGCGUUGUUCGGAUUUACUGGGCGUAAAGGGCGCGUAGGCGGUUUUGUAUGUCUGGCGUGAAAUCCCAUGGCUCAACUGUGGAAUUGCACCAGAAACCACAAGACUAGAGUGCAGGAGGGGAGAGCGGAAUUCUUGGUGUAGCGGUGAAAUGCGUUGAUAUCAAGAAGAACGCCGGUGGCGAAGGCGGCUCUCUGGAAUGCAACUGACGCUGAGGCACGAAAGCUGGGGGAGCAAACAGGAUUAGAUACCCUGGUAGUCCCAGCCCUAAACGGUGUGCACUUGGUGUGGGAGGAAUUGACCCCUUCCGUGCCGGAGCUAACGCGUUAAGUGCACCGCCUGGGAAGUACGGCCGCAAGGUUGAAACUCAAAGAAAUUGACGGGGGCCCGCACAAGCGGAGGAGCAUGUGGCUCAAUUCGAUGCAACGCGAAGAACCUUACCAGGGCUUGACAUGUAGCUGCAGGCCCCGCGAAAGUGGGGCGGCCUUCGAGGGUGCUACACAGGUGCUGCAUGGCUGUCGUCAGUUCGUGCCGUGAGGUGUUGGGUUAAGUCCCGCAACGCACGCAACCCCUGUGGCUAGUUGCUAUCCCCGUUCUGCGGGGAGCACUCUAACCAGACUGCCCGUGCAAUCGGGAGGAAGGUGGGGACGACGUCAAGUCAGUAUGGCCUUUAUGCCCUGGGCUGCACACGUGCUACAAUGGUCGGUACAGAAGGAUGCAAGACCGCAAGGUGGAGCAAAUCCCCAAAACCGGCCCCAGUUCGGAUUGAAGGCUGCAACUCGCCUUCAUGAAGCUGGAUUCGCUAGUAAUGGCGCAUCAGCUACGGCGCCGUGAAUACGUUCCCGGGCCUUGUACACACCGCCCGUCACAUCAUGAAAGCCGUCUGCACCCGAAGUCGCUAUGAGAGCAUUCGUGCUUGGAGGCGCCGAAGGUGUGGGUGGUGAUUGGGAUGAAGUCGUAACAAGGUA